UUAUUCACAGUUUAAUCACCUGAUUCAAUUAUUGACUGUUGAAGAAAACAUAUAAAUAUUUGCACCACCAGAGGAUUGGUAUUACUUUCAUCUGAGAGUUUCAAGAAUCUAUUUUAAGAUGACUUUUGCAUCAGCUGUCAUUGUGGGACUUGCUACCUUUCUAGCAUUCGUCGAUUUCACGAUUGCAAAACCUGAACCUAAACCGAUGAGUGGAACUGGUUGUUCAUAAUAAUCUCCUCUCUCAAUAUAAGGAUAAAUAUCUCUUGGAUCUACCACAAUGGAAGCUGCACUUGUGUUAUGAUUAAAAUAAAUAAAACUUUAUAAGCCUUAAAA